AGAGAUGCAUUGGGCGUAAAGCGUGCGCAGGCGGUUUUGUAAGACAGAGGUGAAAUCCCCGGGCUCAACCUGGGAACUGCCUUUGUGACUGCAAGGCUGGAGUGCGGCAGAGGGGGAUGGAAUUCCGCGUGUAGCAGUGAAAUGCGUAGAUAUGCGGAGGAACACCGAUGGCGAAGGCAAUCCCCCUGGGCCUGCACUGACGCUCAUGCACGAAAGCGUGGGGAGCAAACA
rnacentral:rRNA from 1 species